rnacentral:rRNA from 1 species
CCUACGGGGGGCUGCAGUCGAGAAUCAUUCACAAUGGGGGAAACCCUGAUGGUGCGACGCCGCGUGGGGGAAUGAAGGUCUUCGGAUUGUAAACCCCUGUCAUGUGGGAGCAAAUUAAAAAGAUAGUACCCCAAGAGGAAGAGACGGCUAACUCUGUGCCAGCAGCCGCGGUAAUACAGAGGUCUCAAGCGUUGUUCGGAAUCACUGGGCGUAAAGCGUGCGUAGGCUGUUUCGUAAGUCGUGUGUGAAAGGCGCGGGCUCAACCCGCGGACGGCACAUGAUACUGCGAGACUAGAGUAAUGGAGGGGGAACCGGAAUUCUCGGUGUAGCAGUGAAAUGCGUAGAUAUCGAGAGGAACACUCGUGGCGAAGGCGGGUUCCUGGACAUUAACUGACGCUGAGGCACGAAGGCCAGGGGAGCGAAAGGGAUUAGAUACCCGAGUAGUC